rnacentral:tRNA from 1 species
GGUAAGGUGGCUGAGUUAGGUGGUAGAUUGUAAAUUUACUUACGAGGUGAACACCUCCCUUAUCA